CCUACGGGCGGCUGCAGUGGGGAAUAUUGGACAAUGGGGGCAACCCUGAUCCAGCCAUGCCGCGUGUGUUAAGAAGGCCCUCGGGUUGUAAAGCACUUUCAGUGAGGAAGAACGCCUGGUGGUUAAUACCCAUCAGGAAAGACAUCACUCACAGAAGAAGCACCGGCUAACUCCGUGCCAGCAGCCGCGGUAAUACGGAGGGUGCGAGCGUUAAUCGGAAUUACUGGGCGUAAAGCGCGCGUAGGUGGCUUGAUAAGCCGGUUGUGAAAGCCCCGGGCUCAACCUGGGAACGGCAUCCGGAACUGUCAAGCUAGAGUGCAGGAGAGGAAGGUAGAAUUCCCGGUGUAGCGGUGAAAUGCGUAGAGAUCGGGAGGAAUACCAGUGGCGAAGGUGGCCUUCUGGACUGACACUGACACUGAGGUGCGAAAGCGUGGGUAGCAAACAGGAUUAGAUACCCCGGUAGUC
rnacentral:rRNA from 1 species